GAGUCUCGUGAGACUUUUUGCAUGUACCUUAUGAAUAAGGACCGGCUAAUUCCGUGCCAGCAGCCGCGGUAAUACGGAAGGUCCGGGCGUUAUCCGGAUUUAUUGGGUUUAAAGGGAGCGUAGGCCGGAGAUUAAGCGUGUUGUGAAAUGUAGACGCUCAACGUCUGCACUGCAGCGCGAACUGGUUUCCUUGAGUACGCACAAAGUGGGCGGAAUUCGUGGUGUAGCGGUGAAAUGCUUAGAUAUCACGAAGAACUCCGAUUGCGAAGGCAGCUCACUGGAGCGCAACUGACGCUGAAGCUCGAAAGUGCGGGUAUCGAACAGGAUUAGAUACCCUGGUAGUCCGCACGGUAAACGAUGGAUGCCCGCUGAUGGUCUGAAUAGGUCAGCGGCCAAGCGAAAGCAUUAAGCAUCCCACCUGGGGAGUACGCCAGCAACGGUGCAACUCAAAGGAAUUGACGG
rnacentral:rRNA from 1 species